rnacentral:misc_RNA from 1 species
GUAUCUGUGACUCUAAUCCCUGUACUUUCUACGUCGAUUCGUCGAUUCCAAUUUUAUCGAUCUGUCGAUACACAUCGAAUAUAAAUAUCUGUCAAAGCACGAGAUAGAUUUUUAUCGAGGUUCUUAAAACGAUUUUAUCAUUUCCUGUUUAUACGUAUUUUUAUACACGUAGACUGGCCUGUCGGCCUAAAACGAGCGUUUUAAGGAGAAAACCUUGCGAGAAGGAAAAGCAAGUCAAAGAUCAUCGAUUCUACCCUCUUUUUCAUCCCGGUAUACACACGUCGAGGCUUCCAUGAAUUUUAAUCGCCAAAUGAGCGUACACAAUUCGCGGGCCGUGUAUACAAUGGCUAUAUUUUUCCUGUGUGCUUGGUUAAAAUAUUAAUUGCGCGACAGAUGCGACUGAAAAUGUAGGAAAAAUAAGGGCAGCAUGCACAUGCAGACUAACAAACAGAAAUAUGAUAGAAAAAUGUAUCACAAACGAAACUUCC